rnacentral:lncRNA from 1 species
AGAAAUCCUGCCGAACAGUCAUGAGCAAGUCCCCCAACAAGCACAACCGUCUUUACAUGGAAGCCCGUCCCUUGGAAGAGGGUCUCCCUGAGGCUAUUGAUGAGGGCCGCAUUGGUCCACGUGAUGAUCCCAAGGUACGCUCCAAGAUCCUCUCUGAGGAGUUUGGUUGGGACAAGGAUCUUGCCAAGAAGAUUUGGUGCUUUGGACCUGAGACCACUGGCCCGAACAUGGUUGUUGAUAUGUGUAAGGGAGUGCAGUACCUCAAUGAAAUCAAGGAUUCUGUUGUGGCUGGCUUCCAGUGGGCCUCAAAGGAGGGUGCACUGGCCGAGGAGAACAUGCGUGGCAUCUGCUUUGAGGUCUGUGAUGUUGUUCUUCAUGCUGAUGCAAUUCACAGGGGUGGUGGCCAGGUCAUUCCAACUGCCAGGAGGGUUAUUUAUGCUUCUCAGCUCACUGCCAAGCCAAGGCUGCUCGAGCCAGUUUAC